AUGAACGCUGGCGGCGUGCCUAAUACAUGCAAGUCGAGCGAACGGACGAGAAGCUUGCUUCUCUGAUGUUAGCGGCGGACGGGUGAGUAACACGUGGAUAACCUACCUAUAAGACUGGGAUAACUUCGGGAAACCGGAGCUAAUACCGGAUGAUAUUUUGAACCGCAUGGUUCAAAAGUGAAAGACGGUCUUGCUGUCACUUAUAGAUGGAUCCGCGCUGCAUUAGCUAGUUGGUAAGGUAACGGCUUACCAAGGCAACGAUGCAUAGCCGACCUGAGAGGGUGAUCGGCCACACUGGAACUGAGACACGGUCCAGACUCCUACGGGAGGCAGCAGUAGGGAAUCUUCCGCAAUGGGCGAAAGCCUGACGGAGCAACGCCGCGUGAGUGAUGAAGGUCUUCGGAUCGUAAAACUCUGUUAUUAGGGAAGAACAUAUGUGUAAGUAACUGUGAACAUCUUGACGGUACCUAAUCAGAAAGCCACGGCUAACUACGUG
rnacentral:rRNA from 1 species